GUAGAGACUCAGAGUCUCAUCUUGACACUAAUCAUUGUCUUGGUGUGCUAGAGUUCUCUUAAAGUGAAGACUGGUCCUAUUCACUGACUGGCUCUUUGUAGGCCAGUCAGCCACAUGGGCAGUUACACAC
ensembl:snoRNA